rnacentral:rRNA from 1 species
GUCUUGUAAUUGGAAUGAUGGUGACCUAAACCCUCACCAGAGUAGCAAUUGGAGGGCAAGUCUGGUGCCAGCAGCCGCGGUAAUUCCAGCUCCAAUAGCGUAUAUUAAACUUGUUGCAGUUAAAAAGCUCGUAGUUGAAUUUCUGCGUCUCCGACUUUGACUGCUGUCUUUUUCGGUUUCGCUUUUGGGGUUGUCCCCGUUUUUACUUUGAGAAAAUUAGAGUGUUUCAAGCAGACUUUUGUCUUGAAUACUUCAGCAUGGAAUAAUAGAGUAGGACUUUGGUUCUAUUUUGUUGGUUUGUGAACCUUAGUAAUGGUUAAUAGGAACGGUUGGGGGCAUUCGUAUUUAACUGUCAGAGGUGAAAUUCUUAGAUUUGUUAAAGACGAACUACUGCGAAAGCAUUUGCCAAGGACGUUUCCAUUAAUCAAGAACGAAAGUUAGGGGAUCGAAGACGAUCAGAUACCGUCGUAGUCCUAACCAUAAACGA